AGAUUACAGGGAAGCUAUUUGCAUGGAAUCAAAAUAAAAAGAGUCAAAUAGGAAAAAAGAGGACGAUUAAAAAUGUUUCUUUAAAAAAGAAGCUGUUAAAUUCAUAUGGAGGAAAACUUACUUAUUCUCAUAAUAAACAUAGACAGAAAAAAAUGUUCAAAAGAAAUAGCAAGUUCUCUGGAGAAGAUAUAUAUCAUGAAAGUGGUGUAGUGGCCCUCUCAAAUAUAGAUGUGUAUCAGAAAACGGACUAUAAGCAGUUAUUUAUGUUCAACAAUGUUUUACCCGGAAAAUGCAUCCAUUUAACAACAUUACCUCCAGGUAUAUUUACAACUGUCGGU